rnacentral:rRNA from 1 species
UGGCAGGUCGAAGCGGUACUGUCCUUACCUGGUACCCGAGUGGCGACCGGGUGAGUAACACGUGGGUAAUCUGCCCUGCACUUCGGGAUAGGCCUGGGAACUGGGUCUAAUACCGGAUAUUCAGUUCCUGCCGCACGGUGGGGGUUGGAAAGUUUUUCGGUGCAGGAUGAGCCCUCGGCCUAUCACCUUGUUGGUGGGGUAAUGGCCUACCAAGGCGACUACCGGUAGCCAGCCUGAGAGGGUGAUCUGCCACACUGGGACUGAGACACGGCCCUGACUCCUACGGGAGGCACCUAUGGGGAAUAUUGCACAAUGGGCUAAAGCCUGAUGCAACGACCCCACGGGGGGGAUGACCGUCUUCGGAUUGUAAACCCCUUUCAGUAGGGACGAAGCGCAGGUGACGGUACCUGCCGAACAAGCACCGGCCAACUACGUGCCAGCAGCCGCGGUAAUACUAGGGUGCGAGCGUUGUCCGGAAUUACUGGGCGUAAAGAGCUCGUAGGCGGUUUGUCGCGUCGUCCGUGAAAACUCGCGAGCUUAACUCCGAUCUUGCGGGCUAUACGGGCACACUUGAGUACUACAGGGGAGACUGGAAUUCCUGGUGUAGCGGUGAAAUGCGCAGAUAUCAAGACGAACACCGGUGGCGAAAGCCGGUCUCUUGGUAAUAACUGACGCUGAGGAACGAAAGCAUGGGUAGCGAACAUGAUUAUAUACCCUGGUAGUCCAUGCCGUAAACAGUGGGCGCUACGCUGUGGGAGUCCUUCCCCUAAUUCAGUGCCG